AAAGGUGCUUAGGCUAUGUAAAUGAGCAGUAUCUGCUGAUCUGUUUACAUUGUACAUACAUUUGUCUGUCAUUGCACUUUGGGUGUGCUGACCGGUAAUUUCCUCAACUAUGGAAAACUGGAGGGCAUGAUUUUUGGUAGAGGGGGACUGAAUCUGUACUCGCCACUG
rnacentral:snRNA from 1 species